rnacentral:rRNA from 1 species
UACGGGGGGGGCAAGCGUUGUUCGGAAUUACUGGGCGUAAAGGGCUCGUAGGCGGCCAACUAAGUCAUACGUGAAAUCCCUCGGCUUAACCGGGGAACUGCGUCUGAUACUGGAUGGCUUGAGAUUGGGAGAGGGAUGCGGAAUUCCAGGUGUGGCGGUGAAAUGCGUAGAUAUCUGGAGGAACACCGGUGGCGAAGGCGGCAUCCUGGACCAACACUGACGCUGAGGAGCGAAAGCCAGGGGAGCAAACGGG